GUGCCUUAAAGAGGUGCUUUAAAGAGUGAUUUGUCUAAUUUUACUCAGUUGGCAGUUGGGAGUUGCUAGGGAAACACAUCUCUUUGUUAUUGUAUGUUAAAAAGCAUUGUUCCUGUUUUGUUUUCCUUCUUUUAUAUCUUGGUUAUGUUCACUAUUUUUGUUUUAGGCCCAGCUGUCAACUCAAGAGAAAGAAAUGGAGAAGCUUGUUCAGGCAGAUCAAGAUAAGACAGAGCAGUUAGAGCAGCUGAAAAAGGAAAAUGACCACCUCUUUCUCAGUUUAACUGAACAGAGGAAGGACCAGAAGAAGCUCGAGCAGACAGUGGAGCAAAUGAAGCAGAAUGAAACUACUGCAAUGAAGAAACAACAGGAAUUAAUGGAUGAAAACUUUGACCUGUCAAAAAGACUGAGUGAGAACAAAAUUAUAUGUAAUGCUCUGCAGAGAGAGAAAGAGAGAUUGGAAGGAGAAAAUGAUCUUUUGAAGAGGGAGAACAGCAGAUUGCUCAGUUACAUGGGUCUGGA
rnacentral:sRNA from 1 species